AGCUGCACGGGCACUGGAGCCCGUGAGCAGAGACGCGGCUUGUUUAGUAUUCCGCGCACAAGGCAAAGGAAGGAGAAGGGAGGGAGGGCAGAGAGUGAAAUAGAGAGAAAAAAACGAGGCUGUGAAGACAAGCGAAAACACAGAAAGAGAGGAGAAAGAGAGGAGCGGAGAGACACCUCCUCUGUCCCUCUCGGUCUGCCCUUUGGCAUCCGUCUGUCCCAGGCGGUUUCAAAGCUCCCGUAGAACAUUCCAGAAAUACAGCUGUGUGGACCACAAUCAACAUUACAGUUUAAAUGAAAAACGAGGGAGGACAGUGCGUUCCAACACAACACAUUGGAAACAAAAGGUCUCGAACGCUGCCCGAUGCUGCUUUAAGGACUUAGCCUGCAAAUACUCUCUUUUUCUCUCGACUGAUCGUUUAACCGAGAGUAAUAGCCCAGAAAUCUAGGCUAUGCUUUCUGAACAACAGACCUUAAUAUAGUACCACUAUUUAUUCAAUGAGGAAAAUUCCAUUUAUAUGAAUUGAUUUGGUCUUGACCCGCUGUACUAUGACAAGGACUCAGGGAUGUCAGUGUCAUUUUUCAUAAAAGGAGCCUAUGUUAUUAUUGAGACGAGUGAUUGUGACUCACUUACCAGUGGGUUUCCAAGCCAUUAAAGGUUUCAAUUAACGGUCAUAAAGAGACCUUGACGACUCCUUGUUGGAACUUUGUCCUUCAGAAUCACAAACAAGGCCUCCUGUCCUAUUGGAUUCUUACGGUAGAAACUGGCCAUACACCCCCUUUCCACUCAAGCGCCGUCCAAUUGGUGUGGGCGGUGAGGGCUGCGCCACGAUUGGUUGAGUGCAGGGUGGGUGUGCGAUGCGGAUUGGAGGAUGUCGGGGGACUGGGAAGACGACCUUUGUAAGAAGGCGUUGGUGCUGGUGGAGGAGCUGUGCUUCCGAUCUGGAGGCUUCAGCCAGAGUGCGAGCUGCCAAGAGUUCAGCUACAUGAUGAGAGGACCCAAUAGACA